GAGAGCGGAAGACAUGAGAGAGAAUGCAAGGAAAUGGAAGGAAUUGACAAAGGAAGUUGUUGAUGAGGGAGGAAGUUCAGAUACAAAUAUUCAAGAAUUUGUUUUUGCAUUGCUACGAAAUUGAACUCUCUUUGAUUGUUUGAGUUAUUGAGGUAACAAAUUAUUCUUGUGUAUUUAGUUGGCAACUCUAUAUAUAACUAGUUAAUUGAUACAAAUUGUGUACGUUAAAGUGGUAGAGUGGUUAAUACCUAAGGCUAAAGGCAUUGAGUUUGAGCCC
rnacentral:lncRNA from 1 species